UAUAAAGUCUUGCUGUUGUUAUUUUACUGCUGCUCUUUAAUUACUUGUGACUUUUAUUUCUUAAUCUUAUCCGUAUUUUUUUUUUUUUACUGCAUUGUCUACUACACCUGUUGUAUUCAGCAUUUCCCUGUCAGGUCUACCUACACCUGUUGUAUUCAUCAUUUCCCUGUCAGGUCUACCUACACCUGUUGUAUUCAGCAUUUCACUGUAAGGUCUACCUACACCUGUUGUAUUCAGCAUUUCACCGUAAGGUCUACUACACCUGUUGUAUUCAGCAUUUCACUGUUAGGUCUACACCUGUUGUAUUCAGCAUUUCACUGUAAGGUCUACUACACCUGUUGUAUUCAUCAUUUCCCUGUCAGGUCUACCUACACCUGUUGUAUUCAGCAUUUCACUGUAAGGUCUACCUACACCUGUUGUAUUCAGCAUUUCACUGUAAGGUCUACUACACCUGUUGUAUUCAGCAUUUCCCUGUCAGGUCUACCUACACCUGUUGUAUUCAGCAUUUCCCUGUCAG
ensembl:lncRNA